GGUAAGGUGGCUCAGCGGUAGAGCACUUGCCUUGCAUGCAUGAAGCCCUGGGUUUGAUUCCUCAGCACCA
rnacentral:tRNA from 1 species